UUGUUUUAAAACCCACAAGGGGCUCUUCUGGCAACAUGGCGGGCGGAGAAGCUGGAGUGACUCUGGGGCAGCCGCAUCUUUCGCGUCAGGAUCUCACCACGUUGGAUGUUACCAAGUUGAUGCCACUUUCACACGAAAUUAUCAGCAGACAAGCCACAAUUAAUAUAGGUACAAUUGGUCAUGUAGCUCAUGGGAAAUCCACAGUCAUCAAAGCUAUUUCUGGAGUUCACACCAUCAGGUUCAAAAAUGAACUAGAAAGAAAUAUUACAAUCAAGCUUGGAUAUGCUAAUGCUAAGAUUUAUAAACUUGAUGACCCAAGUUGCCCUCGGCCAGAAUGUUGUAGAUCUUGUGGGAGCAGUACACCUGAUGAGUUUCCUGCAGACAUUGCAGGGACAAAAGGGAACUUCAAAUUAGACAUGUUUCCUUUGUUAAGCCUGGCCACGAUAUUUUGAUGGCUACUAUGCUGAAUGGUGCAGCAGUGAUGGAUGCAGCUCUUCUGUUGAUAGCUGGUAAUGAAUCUUGUCCUCAGCCUCAGACGUCUGAACACCUGGCUGCUAUAGAGAUCAUGAAACUGAAGCAUAUUUUGAUUCUACAAAAUAAAAUUGAUUUGGUAAAAGAAAGUCAGGCUAAAGAACAAUACGAGCAGAUCGUUGCAUUUGUCCAAGCUACAGUACCAGAGGGUGCUCCCAUUAUUCCAAUUUCGGCUCAGUUGAAAUACAACAUUGAAGUUGUUUGUGAGUACAUAGUAAAGAAAAUUCCAGUACCCCCAAGAGAGUUUACUUCAGAGCCCCGGCUUAUUGUUAUUAGAUCUUUUGAUGUCAACAAACCUGGCUGUGAAGUUGAUGACCUUAAGGGAGGUGUAGCUGGUGGUAGUAUCCUAAAAGGAGUAUUAAAGGUGGGCCAGGAGAUAGAAGUAAGACCUGGUAUUGUUUCCAAAGAUAGUGAAGGAAAACUCAUGUGUAAACCAAUCUUUUCCAAAAUUGUAUCACUUUUUGCAGAGCAUAAUGAUCUGCAAUAUGCUGCUCCAGGCGGUUUUAUUGGAGUUGGAACAAAAAUUGACCCCACUUUGUGCCAGGCUGACAGAAUGGUGGGGCAAGUACUUGGUGCAGUCGGAGCUUUACCUGAGAUAUUCACAGAAUUGGAAAUUUCCUAUUUCCUGCUUCGACGGCUUCUAGGUGUACACACUGAAGGAGACAAGAAAGCAGCAAAGGUUCAAAAGCUGUCUAAGAAUGAAGUGCUCAUGGUGAACAUAGUAUCCCUGUCAACAGGAGGGAGAGUUAGUGCUGUCAAGGCCGAUUUGGGUAAAAUUGUUUUGACCAAUCCAGUGUGCACAGAGGUAGGAGAAAAAAUUGCCCUUAGCCAAAGAGUUGAAAAACACUGGCGUUUAAUUGGUUGGGGUCAGAUAAGAAGAGGAGUGACAAUCAAGCCAACAGUAGAUGAUGACUGAAGAAUACCGGUUAAAUAACACAUUUGGAUGGAGUUGGAAGUUGGAAUUCCUCUUAACAACCAAGGGGUUUAUUUUCAAAGCAAUAUUGGGGAAUUGAUUUCACAGUUCGUUACCUUAGUAGGUAACUGUACAGUUAUUCUCUUUUUUUUUGGUUAUGAAAACUUAGGGACUACAAUUAAUAUAAAAAUUGGCAUAAUGUUGGAUUGAAUCUACAUUUUGACAGAAGUGAAGCAUUCCCACAUAAUGUCAAAGUUAUACAUCAUGCAGUUUUGGUUUUUUUGUUUG